UAUUCUGGUGUCCCAGGCGUAGAGGAACCACACCAACCCAUCCCGAACUUGGUGGUUAAACUCUACUGCGGUGACGAUACUGUAGGGGAAGCCCUGCGGGAAAAUAGCUCGAUGCCAGGAU
rnacentral:rRNA from 6 species